rnacentral:piRNA from 1 species
UGGGCUCUGAGAAUUGUAGCACAGCUACAGAG